CUACGGGCCGCAGCAGUAGGGAAUCUUAGACAAUGGGGGAAACCCUGAUCUAGCCAUGCCGCGUGAGUGAUGAAGGCCUUAGGGUUGUAAAGCUCUUUCGCUGGGGAAGAUAAUGACGGUACCCAGUAAAGAAACCCCGGCUAACUCCGUGCCAGCAGCCGCGGUAAUACGGAGGGGGUUAGCGUUGUUCGGAAUUACUGGGCGUAAAGCGCGCGUAGGCGGGCUAUUAAGUCAGGGGUGAAAUCCCGGGGCUCAACCCCGGAACUGCCUUUGAUACUGGUAGUCUUGAGUUCGAGAGAGGUGAGUGGAAUUCCGAGUGUAGAGGUGAAAUUCGUAGAUAUUCGGAGGAACAUCAGUGGCGAAGGCGACUCACUGGCUCGAUACUGACGCUGAGGUGCGAAAGUGUGGGGAGCAAACAGGAUUAGAUACCCCCGUAGUC
rnacentral:rRNA from 1 species